rnacentral:tRNA from 1 species
AGUAAAGUCAGCUAAAUUUAAGCUUUUGGGCCCAUGCCCCAAGAAUGAAGGCUAACCACCCUCCUUUACUA